GGGCCCGCACAAGCGGUGGAGCAUGUGGUUUAAUUCGAUGAUACGCGAGGAACCUUACCAGGGCUUAAAUGUACGUUGCAUGAUUUAGAGAUAGAUCUUUCUUCGGACUACGUACAAGGUGCUGCAUGGUUGUCGUCAGCUCGUGCCGUGAGGUGUCAGGUUAAGUCCUAUAACGAGCGCAACCCCUGUUGUUAGUUGCCAGCGAGUCAUGUCGGGAACUCUAACAAGACUGCCGGUGCAAACCGUGAGGAAGGUGGGGACGACGUCAAAUCAUCACGGCCCUUACGUCCUGGCCACACACGUGCUACAAUGGUAGGUACAGAGGGAAGCCACCCCGCGAGGGGGAGCGGA
rnacentral:rRNA from 1 species